UACGAAGGGGGCUAGCGUUACUCGGAUUGACUGGGCGUAAAGAGCUCGUAGGCGGCUUGUCACGUCGGGUGUGAAAGCCCGGGGCUUAACCCCGGGUCUGCAUUCGAUACGGGCAGGCUAGAGUGUGGUAGGGGAGAUCGGAAUUCCUGGUGUAGCGGUGAAAUGCGCAGAUAUCAGGAGGAACACCGGUGGCGAAGGCGGAUCUCUGGGCCAUUACUGACGCUGAGGAGCGAAAGCGUGGGGAGCGAACAGG
rnacentral:rRNA from 1 species